rnacentral:rRNA from 1 species
CCUACGGGAGGCAGCAGUGGGGAAUAUUGCACAAUGGGGGGAACCCUGAUGCAGCAACGCCGCGUGAGUGAAGAAGUAUCUCGGUAUGUAAAGCUCUAUCAGCAGGGAAGAAAAUGACGGUACCUGACUAAGAAGCACCGGCUAAAUACGUGCCAGCAGCCGCGGUAAUACGUAUGGUGCAAGCGUUAUCCGGAUUUACUGGGUGUAAAGGGAGCGCAGGCGGCGCGGCAAGUCAGAUGUGAAAGCCCGGGGCUCAACCCCGGGACUGCAUUUGAAACUGCCGGGCUAGAGUGUCGGAGAGGCAAGUGGAAUUCCUAGUGUAGCGGUGAAAUGCGUAGAUAUUAGGAGGAACACCAGUGGCGAAGGCGGCUUGCUGGACGAUCACUGACGCUGAGGCUCGAAAGCGUGGGGAGCAAACAGGAUUAGAUACCCUUGUAGUC